rnacentral:snRNA from 1 species
GUGCUCGCUUCGGCAGCACAUAUACUAAAAUUGGAACGAUACAGAGAAGAUUAGCAUGGCUGUCUCUCUGUCACAUAAAUAAAUAAAAUCGAAAAUAAAUAA